GGGCCGCGCGGCUCCGUGCACGGGGCCUCCGAGGAGGGAGUUGCCUCCGAGGAGGGAGUUGCCUCCGCCCGGCCGGUCGCCGACGCCUCCCGCCGCAGCUCGCACCCCCAAACCCGGAGCCUCAGUUCCCAAUACCGCAGCCUUGGAACUGCCUGGCAGAGGGCUGCUCUCUCGCAGUCCCUUCGCACCCUAGCAGGCUGCCUGUGUUCCGAAGCAGUGCCCUCUGCCUUUAAAGCAGGGGUCCCUCCCUUGACCUACCCCCACCCCGCCCCCAGUCCCCCUGCAGUCCCGCGGGAGCGCCCUGUCACCGUGGAUUUUUCUAGACGUAUUUUAUUGAAACCACAAAGGGAAGAAAAGCCCCACACCUGGUACCGACCCCCAUAGGUGGGGUGGGGUGAGGGGGUAAAGAAGAAGAAAAAUUAAACACUUGUUCUGGCGAGGUUCUUGCUGUUUCAGGCUGUAUUUCUUAUAUAGUGAACAAAAAAGAGGGAGAAAUCUUUUUUUUCCCCUCAGAACGCAGCAGCUUCUUCUGAAAGCACGUCGUUGGAGGACUGACAGUAAUGCAUUUUUUCCUAUUGAAAACAGAAGCUACUGUAAUGCUUUCAAAUAUAUGCAAAUGAUACAUGCGGUUAGUGGUUUGGCAAAUCUUGAUUACAAUAUAAACUACCCAAGUAAAAGUGCCUUCGUCCUAAAUUUGUCUCUCGAUUACAAUUCCAAUUGAUUUUAUUUUAUUGUCAACAUUGUUAAUGAUAAAAAUAGAGUCGUUUUACAGUUAUUUUUACUUUCUGGAAGGAGGCAAUUAGAGUUCUAAUCAGGAAUACACAAAAAUCUCCCAUGAUUAACUGCAGUACUUUGUUCAAAUUGCUGCUAUAAAAUUCAGAACAAUUUGCCUGUAAUGAUUAUGGACUGGGUUUAUUUUGGGAGGUGGAAUAAAAGUGGAUAUAGCAUAAAUUAUCCUCUAAUUAUACACCAGUGUCGCCUCAAUUAUCCUCUUAUCAAAAUGGUUGUCUAACUGCCGCAUUUAGUUUCAAUUCUCUCCUUUUUUUUCUAUAAAAAGAACUUCAUACCUUGUUAUUAUUAAUCCAUUUAUUAUUUGCAAGGGGAUUUAUAUCCGCACAUCCAGGUGGUAGAACCACUUCUCUUUCAAAGAUGGACUGGGGAAAGACAUUAAGUUCGGAGCAGCCCAGGGCUGCGGAUCUAGCCUCUCUCCCUCUGGUCUCCAGACUGAGCAGAGUCAGAAGAGCCCGAGCAUGCCUCUCAGGCCCGGCCACCAGCUGCUGAGACAGAAAACCUACUCCUUCGGAGGAGCGUGGCCUUUUCUUAUAUUGCUUCCCAUCGCUGCUUCUGAGCUUCUUGAACUCUGGCCCCUGGACACCACCAUCAAGAAGGCCUUAUGGAUGAGCUACCUAUCCCCACUGAGAGAGGAGGAACAUCAACUGCAGUUUCUAACUAGAUUGCCUUCUUCAUUUCAAGUGAUGGCUGCCAUUAGGAUCAGAUUAGGACAGACCAGCCGGAUGGCUGCUUGGAAGACUAACCUAUAAGGAUACUAAACUGUUCACUGUAUGCUUACAUCAUCAGGAAAAUAGACCAGCACUUCUUUUAGGGAGCACUCUGUUUGGGGCUGGAAGAAAUGACUUGUUAAGUUCCUCAGGAGUAAUCAGAAUAGAGGAACAGAGGGAUGGAUUAUUGCAGAGCUCCUGUUUUUCCUACUGAGCUAUGUAAAUUAGGUGCCCCAGCUGGAUUGUUUGCCCAUGGAGGGCAGUGGUCCUGCUCAAUUCUUCCUUGCACAGAACUCAGUCUGCCCUCUAAUAAAGAUCCUACAAGUA